rnacentral:rRNA from 1 species
GCAAGUCGAGGGGCAGCAUUUCCAGCUUGCUGGAAGAUGGCGACCGGCGCACGGGUGAGUAACGCGUAUGCAACCUACCUUACAUUGGGGGAUAGCCCAGAGAAAUCUGGAUUAAUACCGCAUAACAUAUUUGAAUCGCAUGGUUUAAAUAUUAAAACUCCGGUGGUACAAGAUGGGCAUGCGUAGCAUUAGUUUGUUGGUGAGGUAACGGCUUACCAAGACUACGAUAGAUAGGGGUUCUGAGAGGAUAGUC